rnacentral:tRNA from 1 species
UGGCUGAGUGGUAAAGCGCUUGGCUUUCAAACCGGAGAGCCUAGGUUCGAAUCCUUG